rnacentral:rRNA from 1 species
CUAACGGCUGAACCAGCAACUUGGAGGAAUGUAUAGCUACGGCUAAUUGUGUAUAACUACACGAUAUCGACUCUGUCGAAUAAAAUUCUGGGUAAAUUAUGAUGAUGACAUUUUUUACCUAUGUGUCUUGACCAAAUUGUGUGCCAGCAGUCGCGGUAAUACAUAGAAGACUAGUGUUAUUCAUCUUUAAUAGGUUUAAAGGGUACCUAGACGGUAGAUCAAGCCCUAGACGGGACUAAUUUGCUAGAGUUACUUAUGAGGGGGCUUUAAAGUACUAUUGGUGUAGAGAUAAAAUUUUGUAAUACCAUUUUUCGUAAAGAAAAAU